UGUGUUUUUUGCCUGGGACCUGGCUCUGAGUGCACACCAUGGACUGACCAGUGACCACAUGGAGCUAGCCAAAGCUUUUAUGGAGAUAUGUUACCAAAUGUAGCAUCAGUUUAAGACUGAGCCCAGCCUAAAAAUUGUGUACUUCAACAUUAACCCCAAAUAUAGCCAUAAGGGCAUGAAAGUCUGGCUUGAAGACAAUUUAUACUAUGACCAGAGUCAAUGGAAAGGCUGUUCUAUCUAUACUCGUUCAGCGGGGAAAAGAAAUACCAGGAUUGAGAACAGGAGAUCCUGCAGUGCUUCAACAAAUUUACCUCCAUUCACUCAGGUAUUUAUUUGGUUUGGGGGCAUGAUGUAGAUCUCAGGAGGGAAAAUGUGGUUCCAGUCAGAUUCUUCCUGAGCAACUGGGACUCGGAUUGAGACUGUAGCUGCCUGGGAAGCCAGAGUACUCCAUUACUUUUUCCCUCUUACGAUCAUCGACUUGAGCCCCACACCUUCUUGCCUUCAGCCUUGGAGUAGCCAGUUCUCCAGUUUGUUUCU